rnacentral:rRNA from 1 species
UACGUAGGGUGCAAGCGUUGUCCGGAAUUAUUGGGCGUAAAGAGCUCGUAGGCGGUUCGUCACGUCGGCUGUGAAAUCCCGAGGCUCAACCUCGGGUCUGCAGUCGAUACGGGCGGACUUGAGUACUGCAGGGGAGACUGGAAUUCCUGGUGUAGCGGUGAAAUGCGCAGAUAUCGGGAGGAACACCAGUAGCGAAGGCGGCACUCUGGGCCGGUACUGACGCUGAGGAGCGAAAGCGUGGGGAGCGAACAGG